rnacentral:lncRNA from 1 species
GGGCUUGCUAAUUCCCUGGAUAAAAGAAUAAGAAUUCAAAAUUAUAAUUAAACAUUAAACAAAUAGUAAAGUAGAAGAAGCAAGUAUAUAGUUGGGAUGAGAAGAUUAGUAGCUUUGUCUUUGACAUUUAGCUUGAAUUCGCAACAGCAUUGUAGACAGAGUGAAGUUCUCAGAAAGAGACCUGAAAGCCUUCUUGACUUGUCUCCUAUCCUUUCACAUCUAUUCCAACUAUUACCAAGUUUUACCAGAAGCAGAAUCUCCUUUUCCUUGCUAAUUCCGCAGCCAUAGCCUAUGCCAGACCACAUCUCCUCAUUCCUGGACAAUCUAGCCUUCUCUAGGCUCCCCAUUUUGAAUUACUCUUGCAUGCAUUCCUGUCAAAAUAACCUUACUAAAGCACCAUUUAUAAUAUUCUCUAGCCAAUCUAACUACCAUAGAUCUCAGUGACCUCUACGAACUAAGAGUACCCAUAGUAUUUACAAUUAUAUCCAUACAGCUUAACAUUUAAACAUUCUCAGAUAGUUUCAUUUAAGUUCAUUUUGUCUGCCUUGAGGAAAAAGAGUUUGUCUCAUAUUUCUUUGCAGUUACUGUAACACGUAACACAAGGUGUUCAACAUCAAUCCUCAGAUUCAAGUCCUACCCAAUUUGGACUACUUUAACUGUAGUAGAAUAUUCUGAUCUGUGCCAGGAAAAGGUAGGUUACCAUUCAUUCCUUUAUCCAUUCACUCAUCAGACAUUUUUAAGGCAACCUCCGUAUGCAAGACACUGUGCCAGGCAAUAGAUACGAAGAUGUAUGUCCUGCCUUGAAGGAUAUUGUGGGGGAAUCAGACAUGUACAUCAUGGUGAGGACUAGAGAGAAGUAUGCACGGGUGCUUCAGGGCACCCAGGGGAGACACUUGAAAUCAGACUGGAAAUAGGACAGAACAUCAUUGUCCAAGGUGUGUUUCCCAGAGUGCUAGUCCUGUAAGAUUCCCCAAGGAAAAAAAAAGUUUUAUGGUCAAAUAAAUGUGAGAAACUCUGAUCACUGUCACUCCCUCUCCCAAAGAGCCACAAAGCCCAUUAGCAUGCUAAUGCCUAAGAGGAGUCCUGCAGUAGAAACCUGUGGGAAACCCAGGGUAUGAAAUAUAAAAUUCCUAACCAUCAGGAGAAAAGUAGUAGUUGAAACCUUCUGGAUGGGUGAAGUCACUGAGGAAUUGAGGGAAAAGAACAGAGGGGCCAGCCACAGCCAAGGAUGAGAAGAGUAUCAACAUUUAAGUGUGGAAUGGAAAAAGAGUGGCCCAUGAGGGAGGCUAAGAUGAACUGGCCAGGGAUGUAGAAAUAAAUCCAAAACAAAACAGAAAACCAGGAUCAGAGGGAGAGGAUAGAAUUUCAAGGAGGGUUUGGCCAGAAACAUCAGAGCCCCAAAUGAAAAACUGGCAUGUCCACUGGAUUUAGCAAUCAAGGGGUUAUUAGAGACGUUGGUGGGAGUGUUAUCAGGGCAACAUUGGGAGGGAGGGGGCUUGCAGUGGACUGAGGCUGUGAGGAAGUAAGAGUAAUAAGUAUAGACUGGCCUUCUGAGAAAUGUGGCUAUGCAGGGAUGGGAAUAACAUGGGAAGGGACAGAGAGAGAUGCGGUGUUGAAGGAGGGUUAUUUGGCAAUGAGGAGAUUUGAAACUCUUUGUUAUAUUCUAAGGGGAAAGAGCCAAAUAGAGAGGAAAGGUUAAGACAGGAAUUUGAGGGAAGGGUGCCUAAUUAGACUCAGUAACUGAAAAGACAGCGAGGAGGGGAGGUAAAUCACAGUGAGGUGGAAUUAGCCACAGACAGAAAGAGGGCGACCUUUUCUACUGGGCAGGAACAAAGAAAAAAGGGUAGGAGAGAGAAAGUUAUUAGUAAUAUCAUUAAUUCAUAUUUAUGAGGACCUGCUCUAUGCCAGGCACUGUGCUAAGUGGUUUGCAGAGUGUUGAGAAAGGCAGUCUCGUGCAGUCUCUGGAUCCCCGUUCAGCCACAUAAGGAUGGGCUUGAGCCUGGAACACUUCCUAACCAAGAGAUGAACCGCCUACGCAGCCUGUGCUGGGCUUAUCACCUUGUGUAGGAGUAUCUUUCCCUGUUGCAGACUCCAUGAAUAUUCCUGGCCUCUGCUGACGUGUGUAUCUCAGUGGCCCUCAGACGCAUCCCAGGCUUUCAAUAUUUCAGACUCCACACAGGAGAAGGAGGAGUCCUGCCUCUGUGAUAGGUGGAAGGAGUGCACAUAGGCACAUUGUUCUGCUGGAAGAGAUGGUCUAGCCACGGGGGACUGAGGCACACUGUUGCAGUUGAUCUUGCACUGUCUCUUCACUGUCUAUGUAACAUAACCCUUCACUAUGUAAAGGGUUAUGUUAUGUUUUCCUUGGUAACUCCUGUGUCAAGGUGCAAUGGGAAAAAGUGGAGUACUCCUCUUGAAUUAGUGCACAGUAUUCCACUCAACACAUAGGUUGUCCCAUUUAAUCCUUACAGUAAUACUUUAGGGUAGGCACUAAUAUCAUCCCAAUUCUACAGAUGAAGAAAGAGCAGUAGGUCUAAUGGAGUCAAGAUACAAGUCAGGUAAAGAAAGAUUUCUUGCCUAGUGAGUACUUUCUUAGAAAGAAGCUCUUCCUUGGUGUUAUCAAUUUUUCUGAUUGAAGUAAUUGAAGGAGGAAGCAAGACUAUUUGCUGAGAGUGAGGCAGGGAGGUGGCAAGGGAAGGAUGUCUGAGGAACGGAACAGUCACGAUUGGAAUAGUUGCAGAAGAGAAUGAGAGAGUGUGCUAAGUAAAGACAUACUUGAGAACCUAGCCAACAUUGAAGCACAUACUUCAGUUGAGGCUUCAAUUUCUAUAGUUUGUGACACCCCGCCCCUGCCACCCCCAUCUGCUAUGCCAGGAUCUAGUUAGGAAGGCUGGGAAAAGAUAGACUGAGACUUGCAGGGUUUUACAAAGAAGCAUAUACAUCCUUAGAAAUGACUACCAAUAUAUACAAGAUGAUUGAUCCCAGAUGCUCUACUGUAGAUAUAAGCAAAGUACUGCCAGGGUACAGUGGAUGGAGAGGGAUUCAUUCUGAUAGGAAAUUAGAGAAAUCUGAGGAUAUGGAUAACAUUUAAACUUUUACUAGUGUAAAAUUUUAGCAGUUUUCAAGCCUGAUCUACUGAGAAAUGAAUUAACAUCAGAAAAGGAAGAGCAUGUUUGCAGGGGAAACAAUAAGUUCAGUUUUCAGACAUUGAUUUUGAGAUGCCUACAGUUGUAACACAUAGAAAUGUUUAGAUUUGGAAGUUACCACCUACAGGUAGUAGUUCAAGCUUCACACAUGAAGUUGCUGGCAUGCAGAGGGAGUAAAGAUAUCAUAAAGCUAUCUCGCAACCUCAUCACAGAUAAGGACAGAUACAAGGGUACCACUAGGCACCAGGGCAGAGUUUUCUGGCAAUGAAAUCAAGACAGAAGAGGAAGAAAAGCCUGGGAUGCAUACCACCCCAGCUGAUCUUGUGUCACACACACACACCACUGC